GUGCUUGCUUUGGUAGCACAUAUACUAAAAUUGGAAUGAUAUAGAGAAGAUUAGCCUGGCCACUGCAGAAGGAUAACACUCAAAUGCAUGACACAUUCUAUAUGAUU